CGAAACGCUGGCGGCGUGCCUAAUACAUGCAAGUCGAGCGGACAGAUGGGAGCUUUGCUCCCCUGAUGUUAGCGGCGGACGGGUGAGUAACACGUGGGUAACCUGCCUGUAAGACUGGGAUAACUCCGGGAAACCGGGGCUAAUACCGGAUGGUUGUCUGAACCGCAUGGUUCAGACAUAAAAGGUGGCUUCGGCUACCACUUACAGAUGGACCCGCGGCGCAUUAGCUAGUUGGUGAGGUAACGGCUCACCAAGGCGACGAUGCGUAGCCGACCUGAGAGGGUGAUCGGCCACACUGGGACUGAGACACGGCCCAGACUCCUACGGGAGGCAGCAGUAGGGAAUCUUCCGCAAUGGACGAAAGUCUGACGGAGCAACGCCGCGUGAGUGAUGAAGGUUUUCGGAUCGUAAAGCUCUGUUGUUACGGGAAGAACAAGUGCCGUUCAAAUAGGGCGGAACCUUGACGGUACCUAACCAGAAAGCCAACGGUAACUACGUGCCAGCAAGCCGACGGUAAAUACGGUAAGGUGGCAAAGCGUUGUCCGGAAUUAUCUG
rnacentral:rRNA from 1 species